GGGCCCGCACAAGCGGUGGAGCAUGUGGUUUAAUUCGAUGCAACGCGAAGAACCUUACCUGGCCUUGACAUCCUGAGAACUUUCUAGAGAUAGAUUGGUGCCUUCGGGAACUCUGAGACAGGUGCUGCAUGGCUGUCGUCAGCUCGUGUUGUGAAAUGUUGGGUUAAGUCCCGCAACGAGCGCAACCCUUAUCCUUGUUUGCCAGCGAGUAAUGUCGGGAACUCCAGGGAGACUGCCGGUGAUAAACCGGAGGAAGGUGGGGACGACGUCAAGUCAUCAUGGCCCUUACGAGUAGGGCUACACACGUGCUACAAUGGCGCAUACAGAGGGCAGCCAACUUGCGAGAGUGAG
rnacentral:rRNA from 1 species